GGGCGUUUAGCUCAGUUGGUUAGAGCGCAUCCUUCACACGGAUGAGGUCGGUGGUUCGAGCCCACUAUCGCCCACCA
rnacentral:tRNA from 1 species